GAUCUGCCCAGGGUAAGUCGGGACCUAAGGCGAGGCCGACAGGCGUAGUCGAUGGAUAACCGGUUGAUAUUCCGGUACCCGCUGUGAAGCGUCAAACAUCGAGCAUCGUGAUGCUAAGGCCGUGAAGCCGUUCCGGACCCUUCGGGGAAAGGAAAGUGGUGGAGCCGCCGAACCAAGCGGUUAGUAGGUGAGUGAUGGGGUGACGCAGGAAGGUAGUCCAUCCCGGGCGGUGGUUGUCCCGGGGUAAGGGUGUAGCCCGUGUGAUAGGUAAAUCCGUCGC
rfam:Streptomyces sp. MMG1533 P407contig253.1, whole genome shotgun sequence.